rnacentral:tRNA from 1 species
GGAUUGUGGCUCAGCGAUAGAGCGCUUGUCUAGCAAGUGUGAGGCCCUGGGUUCAAUCCUCAGCACCA